GACAGAGGGUGCAAACGUUGUUCGGAAUUACUGGGCGUAAAGCGUGUGUAGGCGGCCAUAUAAGUCGGAUGUGAAAGCCCAGGGCUCAACCCUGGAAGUGCACUCGAUACUGUAUGGCUCGAGUACUGGAGAGGUUGGUGGAAUUCUCGGUGUAGAGGUGAAAUUCGUAGAUAUCGGGAGGAACACCGGUGGCGAAGGCGGCGACCUGGGUCGACACUGACGCUGAGGCGCGAAAGCGUGGGGAGCAAACAGG
rnacentral:rRNA from 1 species